CUCUUUCACUUGGAGGAACCCUAGAAGAAGGUGCAGCGCCGUCAGUCCCCACCGCUGCUUCACCAAGAUCAGCCGAAAACCAGUCCAAAACAGCCCGCAAAAAUCAGCUAAAACACAGCUGAAAACCAGCCACGAUACCAGCCUCAAAUCGCAGCAAAUCUAGCUGCGAAACAGAUCCAAAAACGACUUCGAAACCCUUCGAACUUGGCGUUCUAAGCAAGCGACUUUCAUUGAACUUGGCGUUCAAAGCAAGCGAGUUUUAUCUUCCUUGGCGUUCAAAGCAAGCACUGCUGUUGAGUUCGUAAUACUAAUAGUUUCCCCAUUGCCGUUGAGUUCGUAAUACUAAUAGUCUCCCCAUAUUUUUCUAGUUAUUUCUACUGACAACAAACAUUCUACUCCUAGUACAUAGUUUGAUACAUAGAUUUUAGCAUUAUUGAACAUGCCUGAAGACUCUUGUACUGACCGUGCUCUCUUUGGCGGCACUAUCUCUACCACUUUCCCUCUCCGUUUCCAGGAUGUCAGUAAUGUGCGUCAAGUUCCUGAUCAUCAGGAGGUGUUUGUGGACCCUGCGCGCGACGAGAGUUUGAUAAUUGAGCUUCUUGAUCUGAAGGUGGAUGUAGCAGACAGUGGAAGUGCCACCUGGUUUCUUCAGGACCUUGCAAAUGAACAAGAUGCAGAGGGAACUACGAUCAUCGAGCAGUCAGCAGUAUUUGAGGCUCCUGGAUUGUGCUAUAGAAACACGCCUGCUGUCAUCACCACUGCUGUUGCUCAAAUGGCCGUUUCUAAGGGAAGACAAGGUAGGGAAGCACAGAACUUGGUUAAGGUGUACCUGGCAAACCUUCGCCUUAAGGAUGUUGGGACGGAUAUUCUCAUAACUGCAUAUGAGCCUUUAUUAAUAAACCCCUUGAGUGAGAGUGCUAGCACAGUCGGGGCUGGCGUAGCUGUACCUGCUGCACAAUCUGGAAUUAUGCCGAUGGCUGAGGUUUUUAAAUUUGCAGUAUCUAGUUUCAAAGUUCAUGAUUGGAGCCUCUUUGGUACUGCUACUGGAGGUGUUGAAUGAUUUAAAUAGUCACACAAAUCUAGCAUCUCUUUGGGGAUUAUUGGUCCAUUUUUCAACAGCAUGAUUUUUGUGCAUAGUGCAGUGCAGUCCAUUUCUUUCCUUGGAUAAAAGCAGCAGCAAAUGGGACCAGAUGUCUCUUUACUUCCAAAUAUCAAAUGCAGCUCAGACAGAUAACAGAGUUUCAAAUAUAACUAGAAGGAAUGGAAAUUAAGUGGGACAUAAGAAAGGUAAAAUUCCAAAAAAAGUGAAAAAAAAAAAAAAAAAA